rnacentral:rRNA from 1 species
UACGAGGGGGGCGAGCGUUGUUCGGAAUUAUUGGGCGUAAAGGGUGCGUAGGCGGCCUGACAAGUCUGAUGUGAAAUCCCUGGGCUCAACCCAGGGCCUGCAUCGGAAACUGUCGGGCUUGAGUAUGGGAGAGGUGAGUGGAAUUUCCGGUGUAGCGGUGAAAUGCGUAGAUAUCGGAAGGAACACCUGUGGCGAAAGCGGCUCACUGGACCAUUACUGACGCUGAGACACGAAAGCGUGGGUAGCAAACAGG